CAGCAGCCGCGGUAAUACGAGGGGGGCAAGCGUUGUUCGGAAUUACUGGGCGUAAAGCGUGCGUAGGCGGUUCGUUAAGUCUGUUGUGAAAGCCCCGGGCUCAACCUGGGAAUGGCAAUGGAUACUGGCGAGCUAGAGUGUGUCAGAGGAUGGUGGAAUUCCCGGUGUAGCGGUGAAAUGCGUAGAGAUCGGGAGGAACAUCAGUGGCGAAGGCGGCCAUCUGGGACAACACUGACGCUGAGGCACGAAAGCGUGGGGAGCAAACAGGAUUAGAUACCCCUGUAGUCCCUGUCUCUUAUAC
rnacentral:rRNA from 1 species